rnacentral:rRNA from 1 species
AGUCGAGCGAGACCUUCGGGUCUAGCGGCGGACGGGUGAGUAACGCGUGGGAACGUGCCCUUCUCUACGGAAUAGUCCCGGGAAACUGGGUUUAAUACCGUAUACGCCCUUAGGGGGAAAGAUUUAUCGGAGAGGGAUCGGCCCGCGUUGGAUUAGGUAGUUGGUGGGGUAAUGGCCUACCAAGCCGACGAUCCAUAGCUGGUUUGAGAGGAUGAUCAGCCACACUGGGACUGAGACACGGCCCAGACUCCUACGGGAGGCAGCAGUGGGGAAUCUUAAACAAUGGGGGAAACCCUGAUCUAGCCAUGCCGCGGGAGUGACGAAGGCCUUAGGGUCGUAAAGCUCUUUCCCCCGGGAUGAUAAAUGACAGUACCUGGAAGAAGAAAACCCCGGCUAACUCCGUGCCCGCAGCCGCGGUAAUAACCGAGGGGGUUAAGCGUUGUUCGGAAAUUACUGGGCGGUAAAGCGCCCGUGGGGGGGUUUAUUAAGUCCAAAGGUGAAAUCCCCAGGGGCUCCACCCUUGGGACUGGCCUU